UACGUAGGGCGCAAGCGUUAUCCGGAAUUAUUGGGCGUAAAGAGCUCGUAGGCGGUUUGUCGCGUCUGCCGUGAAAGUCCGGGGCUCAACUCCGGAUCUGCGGUGGGUACGGGCAGACUAGAGUGAUGUAGGGGAGACUGGAAUUCCUGGUGUAGCGGUGAAAUGCGCAGAUAUCAGGAGGAACACCGGUGGCGAAGGCGGGAUCUCUGGGCAACACGUGACGUGAGGAGCGAAAGCGUGGGGAGCGAACAGG
rnacentral:rRNA from 1 species